CGCGAUCGGUAUAUGGUGAUAAUCGAUAGACGCGAGUUGGCCGAAGUCGACGACUGUGAUUUGCUGUUCGGACUUUUAAAUUAAUGUCGUAUUAAUCUCGCCUGAAAGCUCUAGAAGGAUCUUCUUGUUUCCAGUCAUUUUUGCCAAUAUGGCAGAUCAUUGCCAAGCCACGGAUGAUGAAUUUGAUGCUGUUAAAUGGAAGGCAAUCUCCCUGACUUUCGUCGAAUAUCCCGACGAUGAUGUGAUUGGAAAACUUCUUGCCUACAUGAGCCUUGUUCCUCUUAUCAUUCUGGUUGGAUUUGUGACUUUACUUCUUUUCAGAAGAGAGCUUCACACAAUAACAUUCUUUGGUGGUAUAGUUUUGAGUGAAGGGGUUAAUUGGGUAGCAAAACACACCAUCCAGGAACCUAGACCAUGUAGAGGUGCUGAUACAUUACAUGCUGGUCUACGGACAGAGUAUGGAAUGCCAUCAAGUCAUUCACAAUUCAUGUGGUUUUUUGCUACUUACACAGUGCUAUUUAUUUAUAUAAGACUACAUCAACCGAACAGUAAUCUAUUUAUUGAGCAGGUGUGGAGGCAUAUGGCAGCCACUGGGGUUAUACUUUGUGCAUUACUAGUGUCUGGUAGCAGAGUUUAUCUGAAGUAUCACACAUUGCGACAGGUUGUAUGUGGAGGACUACUGGGAAUCCUAUUGGCUGUGCCUUGGUUUACUAUCACACAGGUGGUGCUAACACCGCUGUUUCCUUACCUGGUGUCCUGGCCUAUUUGUGAGUUUUUCCUGAUCCGUGACUCAACCCUCAUUCCCAACGUGCUCUGGUUUGAAUAUACCACUGCAAGGACAGAAGCCAGGACGAGGCAGAGGAAGCUUGGGAACAAGAUGUCAUGACGGAGCAUUUGAUUUUAAAACCCGCUGCUCCCUCUGAUCGACCUGACAGUGACUGUGUACAUUCAGCAAACAGUCCUAUUAAGCACGCAUUGGCGAUAUUCAACACUUUUAAUCUCAUUGACGAGAGAGUUGGCACUUCAUCAAUGUAUUUUAAAUAUAUAUGAGAAGUAUUUUUUAUGUAAGAGAAGAUAUCAUAUAAUAUUAUGCAUUCUCUUGAUUGAUUAUUAUCACGCAAGCAAUGAAGAAUAGACGUGUAAACUAAAGGCAACUUGUCAAUGGUCUGUGAUGUGCUUUUAUAGCAGCUUUCCCGUAUUCCCCCAUUGGGUGAUUUCAAGUCUGGUGUUGGCCUUGGAGUUGGUGUUGAAAUUUGGAUUGCUUUCCCUAGCUCCAAAUCUUAUUCAGAGUUUGCAAAACUGAUCCAGAUCACAUUAUUGACAUCUCAGAAAGACAGAAACUAAGUGAGUGACUUUUCGGGACCAUCUUCAUUUUAUAUUUGGUGUUAUAAUCGUGUGAAAAUUUACCUAACACCAGAAGGUCAACACUGAACUUGAAAUCACCCAGUGUUGUGUUAAUGAUGAAGAAUGAGGAUUGGUAAUGAGAAGCUGCUCAUUAGAUUCCUGCCAGAAAGACGUAGCUCUGUGACUUUUGACGAGGUGCCUGUAGUGAUUCAGUUUAAGGGGGAAUCCAACAUAAAUAGAAAGGAAAAUGAAAAUUCAGACAAGUUGAUAAGUGGAAGUUUGAACAAUAUCGCAUAAACAAUAUUAAAGUUAUGAGUUUUUUGAAGUUAUGAAAAUUGGUAAUCGCUAUACCCAUUGAGACCUCAUAUUUGCCACAUGUGUGAUGUCAUAGUGAUGUAAGGCAAGGACUACUCUUCCACGUACUCCAAUACAUAAAGUGGCCAAAAAAGAAUGUUCAAAUUCUAUUUUUCUUUUAUCAGGACAUAAAACAAACUACCUGGGUUAUAUUUAGAUUACUGCCCCAGGGGAAUGGGUACUUAUGAGAAAACCAUAAAUCUAAGAUAAUUGAGUAGAUGGCCUAUGGGAAAGUUGUCCUUGGCCCUUGUCAUAAUUUACUCAACCAGUAGCCAAUUUGAAAUCUUUAUGGUCUGAGGGAUCUCAAAUUUAAAGCAGCCAUAACUUUCUUAUUGCUUGUCCGAUUUCUUUCAAACUUUUAUUUUUUUUUUCUUUCCAAUACAACAGUUAUAACCAAGGCUGGAUUCCCCUUUAAGGUAUCAUAUUUCUUUCCUGGUGAAACCUAGCAAAGAAGUUAUUAUUAACCCAACAUAAUAAAGUUCAUUUACAUUACUUGUUGCUAUAGCUUGUAGACUUCAGGCAAGCCUUCUGAAUGCCCAUGGUAUGACAUAAAAAUAUUUUGUAGAAUAAAAAAGUAAAUUAUUGAAAGUUGAUCAUUGAAAAAUGAAUUUAAAAAAAUCAUUGGAUUUUUUUUCCAUGAUGAUCAAUUCUUUGAAAGGCUGUUCGUACAGUACAGUGCUUGCCAUACAUCAAAUUUGAGGUUUGUGAAGCCAUGCUUAACAAAGUGCUUUAUGAGCAUCGCCCCCCCCCCCUUAACUGGGUUUUCAGCAAUUUAUUUUAUUUUAUGGCUUUUAAAGAAGGUCACAAUUUCAAAUACAUGUAUCAUGUAUUUGAAAAAACUUGAUAUGAAACAAGGGUUUUGCGUGGAUCAGGGCUUUGGCUUCAAAUUCGUUCUGAUUUAUUAGUUUGAAACCAAUAUAUGUGAGAAGCAAAAUUGAGAUAAUUAUGCUGUGCACAUGGGCUAGUAAUAGCUGACUUAAGGUUUACUUGUUAAACCACACUCUUAUGAAGUGCCGGUUUUCAACUAAUUCUCCUAGUACAGGGGUCAGUUGCAAACAGAAGCAAAUGAGAAGCAAAAGUUUAAAAGAAAUGGAGAAAGAAUUAUAUUCUUGAAAGUGAUGCAGUUUGGGUUUUACGAAUCAACCAAAUCCAAGAUUAUACUGGGCAGCGCACACAAUUGUUCAGCACAUGAAAUGAAUAGCUUUCAAUUUUUAAUUGAAAUUGUGUGAUGAGAUUGUACUUAAAAUAAGAUUCUUUUCAUGCUUAAGUAUGAAUAGUGUGUUGAAAGAACAAAUUGAUUGAUUGAUUUAUGAAAAGUAUUGUACCGUUACUUGCAAGUGGGCAGUGUUGCAGAAAUGCAUCAAUUGCUAUGAGGUUGAUUUCAAUAAAGAUAUCGUACACUGCUGAGGCUUGUGUUGUAAAGAGUUACAAAAAUGGUACAUGUAGGACACUGUACUUAUUACAAUCCUAUAAACUAGUUUACUGGAAACCGAUUCAGGAAACCAGUUUAGACCAGUUUGCUAGCAUUCCCAUUUGAUCACUCCAAAGUGAUUUUCAAAACCACUUCACGGUCGCUUCGCGGAAAGAGAUCUUGUUGCUAUGGGUACGCUCUCAGUUUCGUGCAAAAUUUGGAAAGCGCAGGGUAGACAUGUGCAAAGAUCGCUUCCCAAGGAACAGUUGUGUCCUCACUUCUCUAAUAGGCUAUAAAUUUUAAUAAGGCAAAGUGAUCUUGAUAAUUACAUUGCGAGGUGGUCUUCCGAACCGGAUUUGGAAAAUGGCAUCCAAGAUCGCUUUGACCGUUCUCAUCACAUGUUAAACUAGUUUUAGGACGGUAAUGAGAACGGGGUCUAACUUUGCCAUUAUGGCAUCUACCAUCGUGGCAGGGCUCAGCAGCCAAUUGCAAUCAAGGCUUUUCAUUCAUAGAUUGGAGUGGGCUACAUAUCACUACACAUCACUAUACGCAUUGCAAAUUGACCUUUCAGCUGUUGCUGCUGGUCAAUCUUCAUUUACCAAUAAACAAGUAAUAAGUGAAUUGCUGCAGGUCAGCUUAUGGCUGCUGCUAUGUCAGAAUGCCUUGAGCAAAACUUUGAAAGUGGUUCUUGGAAUGCACAUGUUCUCUCAGUAUUUUUACAAGCUCUAGACUAGAGUGAGAUUACUCUAUUGUAACAGUGCAUACAAUAACUGGUGCUAUGUAGGAGAAGCUUGAGGCAAUACUUUUGGGGAAUGAUUAUUUGCUUUAUUCAUGGUCAUGCGAAGAGGAUUGACCAUUGAUUUAUUGUGUUGAUGAAGGAAGAUGAACGUGGAAAACUAUAUCUUGUAUGAAAAAGAAAUGAAGCUCUAGAGUUAUGGGUUGGUUUCAACGUACAUAUGUAUCAGAAAUUGGUAUGGAAAGCCAUCUGCGAUUGAUUGCUUCAGGUAAUCUGGAUUGUGUAUCAGGGUUUGUAAACUGAUUUUAAAACAGAACAAAAAGCAAGACCUUGGAGAAGGUUAGGGGCACUGUUUCAUUAAAUUUGUUAUGUUUCUAUGUGAUUAACAAGAAAUUUAUGGCUGCUUUGUGAAAUGCGCCGCUGUAAGAUGGAUAACCAACCAGUUGAAAUGCUCCCCAGGGAGAGGAGAAUGAACGUGCAUCGUAUAAUUGCUGGUGAGACUGAUGGAAUCCUAUGAGUUGGUUAAUAAUAUGGGGUGCUUAGAUACUGGAAAUUGGCAUGGAUGGGUAUGAAAUGCCAUUUAAGUCAAGUGGCUAUGGAAGGAUGAUAGACGAUGAUUCAGAGCAGUUAAAUGCUGUUUUCAUAGUACCCGUUCUCAUAAAUCUUGUUAUGAAUGAAAACUGCAAAUGCUAUGUUUAGCUACCCUUA
rnacentral:misc_RNA from 1 species